UACAGAGGUCCCAAGCGUUGUUCGGAUUCACUGGGCGUAAAGGGUGCGUAGGUGGCAGGGUAAGUUUGAUGUGAAAUCUCCGAGCUUAGCUCGGAAACUGCAUUGAAUACUAUCCUGCUUGAGGAUUGGAGGGGGGACUGGAAUUCUCGGUGUAGCAGUGAAAUGCGUAGAUAUCGAGAGGAACACCAGUGGCGAAGGCGAGUCCCUGGACAAUACCUGACACUGAGGCACGAAAGCUAGGGGAGCAAACAGG
rnacentral:rRNA from 1 species